rnacentral:rRNA from 1 species
UACCAGCACCCCGAGUGGUCGGGACGAUUAUUGGGCCUAAAGCAUCCGUAGCCGGUCCUGCAAGUCUUCCGUUAAAUCCAGCUGCUCAACAGAUGGGCUGCGGAGGAUACUACAGGGCUAGGAGGCGGGAGAGGCAAGCGGUACUUUAUGGGUAGGGGUAAAAUCCGUUGAUCUACAGAGGAACACCAAAAAAGGCGAAGGCAGCCAACUAGUCUAUUCCUGACAUUGAGGCAUGAAAGCGUGGGGAGCAAACAGG